GGUUUUAAUUCAGACGGUGGAGGAACGCCGGACGGUGCGGGACAGCCAGGGCCACGAGGAGACGGUCGUGACUCGGAGCUUGGCCCCUGACGGCAGCCUGCCGAGAGCCCCAGGUGAUCCGGCUCCUUUCAGCUCCGGCCCGGAAGGAGACCUGAGUGACACGAGUUCGAUUCUCAACAGCUUUUUCCGCCGCUGGUUCCCGAACCAAUAAUUCUGCUGGCAGAGAGGCAGGUUUCUGUGCAUUUCCUGAGUUCGCUUCUGUCUCCUCCUCCUUGAUCAUCGUCUUUGUAGCUU